CGCGGGGUAGAGCAGUUGGUAGCUCGUCGGGCUCAUAACCCGGAGGUCGCUGGUUCGAGUCCAGUCCCCGCAACCA
rnacentral:tRNA from 1 species